AGGCAGUGGGGAUUGGGGCAGGUUUGUAGAGUUCUGGUGGUCCUGGGAGGGCUCAGGGAGCAGCCAAAUGCCUUCCCUGGUGACAGGAGUGAGCCCCUUCCUCUAAUCAGAGGGACAAAGUCAUACAGGCCAAGACAUUAGCAGCCGUGUGUGAGAGCGGCUAGGAUUUUUUCACGGCACCUCCCCAGGGGUCUGUGGGGAGGAACUUCCCAAAGGACCAUGGGCAUCAAAGGUGUGGCUUAUCUAAUUCAGAUGGAGAAGCAAGGCUGAGGUUCCAGUUCAAAGAAGGAUAGCCAGAAACGUGAAAGUCCUUGAUAUUUACAAAGGCUAUUUCUUUCUUCUAGCCCUGAUUCAAACUCCUUUCUGCCUAUUAUCAAAAGAAAGAACAAACUUGCAUAAUUUAAACAUAUUUAAAAAUAGGUUCCCUUUUGACUAAGAGAGAUUUAAAAAGAAAAAUUAGUUCCUCUCUGCCUGGAACAGAUAUGAGGGAAAUGUCAGUGGAUGGAAAUGGCAAUGAGCUCCUCUGGAAUUCUGGGAGAUUGGACAUGGACCCUGGAGCGAUGCUGACAUUUAUUCAUCAUGGUUAUCUGCAUCAUGGUUUUCUCAUCCGUAAAGCAGGAAAUGGGGACAGAUGUUCCUCAUGGCCCCUGCAUGGUUCUGUGUGGGGAACUUUAUUUGUGGGUGUGGAAUUUUUUUUUUUUUUUGAGACAGGUUCUCACUGUCACCCAGGCUGGAGGUCAGUGGCAUAAUCAUGCCUCACUGUAGCCUCGACCUCCUGGUUCAAGUGAUCCUCCUGCCUCAGCCUCCUGUGUAGGUGGGACCACAGGUGUGCAACAUCAUGCCCGGCUAGUUUUUUAUUUUUGUUUUUGUAGAGAUGGGGGUGUCCCUAUGCUGCCCAGGCUGGUCUCAAACUCUUGGGCUCAAGUGAUCUUCCUGCCUUGGCCUCCCAAAGUACUGUGAUGACAGGCUUGAGCUACGGCACCUGGCCCUGUGUGGGGAACUUUUUAAUAAAUAUGCUCUAAUACAGUCAUUCUCCAGGUACAUCACCUGGAAACUUAGAAAGGUAAAUUCUCAGAAUUCCCUCUGCCAACUUACAGAGUCAGAAACUCUGUGAUUUAACAAACCCUCCAGGACAUUCUAGUGUAUUCUGAAGUUUUAUAGCCACUGCUUUAAUAGAAACGAAAAGUUUGAGUCACAGAAUGUGUGGAAUAGGGCCUCACCACUUUACUAUUAGGCAGAUAACAAAGAGUAAAUAAUACUUAUUUCAAAAAAAAUCACAGAACAUUGGAAAGCAUACAUUAGACACAUUAGCUUCAGUACCAGAAUAAGUAAGUUUUCACAAACAAUUUAUAAAUAUGUAAUAUUUUCCAUUUAAGUCAAUAAUAAUUAUUUUUAAUUACAUUUUAUUUUGUAGAGACAGACUCUCACUAUGUUGCUCAGGCUGGUGUCAAACUCCUGGGCUCAAGCGAUGCUCCUGCCUUGGCCACCGAAAGUGCUGGGAUUACAGGUGAGAGCCACUGUGUUUGACCAAACAUUAUUUUUUUAAAGAACCAGCAGCACGGUUAACCAGACACCCCUUUCUGAUUAAAUGUGCAAUACACAAAACGCUUUCAUAAAUAGUCGUGUAAUAAUUUGCUUAUAGAGCUCUAUGCAAAUUAUUUUUCAAAGUUAUGUCAUUGAGUUUUUUAGGGGGAUAACUCAUGAUAACCAAAUGAAUUUAGACUUAAUUAAGUACAUGGAUUCUAUAGUAGUCACAACGUUGUGAGAGUAAACGUUUUUUUUAAAGGCAAGUAGAUAAUUUGCAGUUGUGUACAUAUGUGCUCCCAGGCUAAUUUUCUUUUCUUUCUUUUCUUUUUUUUGAGACAGAGUCUCACUCCGUCACUCAGGCUGAAGUGCAGUGGUGGGAGCUUGGCUCACUGCAACCCCCGCCUCCCAGGUUCAAGCAAUUCUCUUGCCCCAGCCUCCCGAGUAGCUGGAUUUACAGGCGCAUGCCACCAUGCCCGGCUAAUUUUUUUGUACGUUUAGUAGACACGGGGUUUCGCUAUGUUGGCCAGGCUGGUCUUGAACUCCUGAUCUCAAGUGAUCUGCCCACCUCAGCCUCCCAAAGUGCUGGGAUUACAGGCGUGAGCCACUGCGCCUGGCCGGAAACAACUAUAUUUUAAAAGAAGUAGAAGAUUCAAGUGGUACCAACAAUGCUUACUUUUUCCAGAAAAAUAGAUGUGGGAUUUGAGCUUUGGAAGGUGGCUCUGGUGUGUUGUAGGUGGUGGGCACCUCCAGCUCCUGCUGCUCUUGCAAACUCCAGUUUCCAGAUGGGCCUCACUUCUGCUGCUCCCUGUGGGAAACUCCUCCAGUUUUAUCGUCAGUCAGUUUCCUAAUUUUUUUUUUUUUGUAGUCUUGCUGUGUCACCCAGGCUGGAGUGUAAUGGUGCAAUCUCGGGUCACUGCAACUUCAAGCGAUUCUCCUGCCUCAGCCUCCUGAGUAGCUGGGAUUACAGGCAUGUGCCAUUAUGCCCAGCUAAUUUUUGUACUUUUAGUAGAGACGCAGUUUCACCAUGUUGGCCAGGCUGGCCUUGAACUCCUGACCUCAAGUGAUGCAUCCACCUUGGCCUCCCAAAGGGCUGAAAUUACAGGUGUGAGCCACCUCGCACGGCCAGUUCCCUAUUUUUAUCAGUGCACUUUACCAUUUAUCUACUCAAUUCCUCACCCAUAUGCAAGGCUGCCCUUUUCUGAAGGAUGCUAGUGGUGAAUCCAUUGAAAAAUCCACUGAUUGUGUUCCCCUAGGGCCUCUUCAAGAUGGAAAGAUUCAGGUGGGGCACGGUGGCUCACACCUGUAAUCUCAGCACUUUGGGAGGCCGAGGUGGGCGGAUCACCUGAGGUCAGGAGUUCAAGACCAGCCUGGCCAACAUGACAAAAUCCGUCUCUACUAAAAAUACAAAAAUUAGCCGGGGUGGUGGCUUGUGCCUGUAAUCCCAGCUACUCAGGAGGCUGAGGGAGGAGAAUCGCUUGAACUCAGGAGGCAGAGGUUGCAGUGAGCCAAGAUUGUGCCACUACACACCAUCCUGGGUGACAGAGUGAGACUCUGUCUCAAAAAAAAAAAGCCAGGUGCAGUGGCUCACGCCUGUAAUCCUAGCACUUUGGAGACCGAGGCAGGUGGAUUGCCUGAGCUCAGGAGUUUGAGACCAGCCUGGCCAACAUGGUGAAACCCCGUCUCUACUAAAAUACAAAAAAAUUAGCUGGGCGUGGCAGCAUGUACCUGUAGUCCCAGCUACUCAGGAGGCUCAGGAAGGAGAAUUGCUAGAACCUGGGAGGUGGAGGUUGCACUGAGCCAAGAUUGCACCGCUGUACUCCAGCCUGGGUGACAGAGUGAGACUCUAUCUGGAAAAAAAAAAAAAAAAAAAAAAAAGAUUCUACAGUGAGCACAAAGGUGAAACUCACCUUGAAUGCUUUUACCAAUUGAGUGUGGAUGAACUAAUUCAGAGUAUUGCGGGCCCCUGCUGCAGCAAACACAGAGCUCCCAAAAUGCUCAGGCUAUUGGGAGGCAACUGCCUUGUCAGGGUGGCCAAUGGUUUCCCCAUUGCCAAAUCGGACAGUUAACUCCAGUCCUUGUCUGACUGGAGGCCUGCAGAUCACUGCCUCCUCUGUAACGCUCUUUACCCCCAACCCAGGGAUCCAAGAUGCCCUACUCUAGGAUCAUUUUCUCUGCCUCAUUCAUCACUCAGACUCCUUCAUUUGUUCCUUCUCUUCUCCCUCCUCUGAGUGCUGCAGAGCCCGGGUUUCCAUCCUCAGACCCCUGCCCUGCCUGCUCUCUGUCCCAAGGCAGCACUGCCAGCAUCCGAAAUAAAAAUCCAGCCCUCCUAUUCAUAGUGACAUCGAAUUUCAGAUCAACGACAAAGAGUUUUAUGGCAUAAGCAUGUCCCAAAUAUUGCAUGGCCCCAAAUAUUUACUUAGUUAAUAAGUAAAAAUUGCACAAGACAUACUUAUGCUAAAGAGUAUUGACUAUUUGUCUGAGUCCAAAUGUCUCUGGGCAUGCUGGGUUUCAUCAGGUAAUCCUGCCAUGAUUUCAGUUUCAAGGUGAUACCAUCUAUGGUGACUCUUCUGAAAAUGUUUAUCUCUAGCCUAGGUCUCUCUCCUGAACUGCAGACUCCUGCUGCCUCCAGCACAUCGCCACUUGGGUAAUGAAUAGGUGUCUCAACCUGAACAUGUCAAAAACAACACUCAUUUUUCCCCCCAAUUCCUUGCCGUUCUCACAGGUAGUCUCGUCCCCCCAGCUGCUCACCCACAAGCCUUGCACUCAGCCUUGACUCUGUUCUUCUCACACCCCAUAUCCAGUCUGCCAGGAGGUCCUUGGUCCUCCUGGGCUACACUAAUAGUGCCUCUUGCUGGUCACUGCAACCACCUCCCAUUCCUUUCCCUGCAUUGUCCUGUGCCUCACAUGGUUUUUUUCUCAACAUGCCAGCCAGAAUGACUCUUUGAAAACUUUCUCAUGCCAUGUCACUUUUCAGCCCAUCGCCCUGCAGCAGGUCCCCAUGUUACUCAGUGUAAAAGCCCAAGGUCCUUGCCCCAUCCUGCAAAGCCCCUGUGACUCUGUGGUCUCUGGAACCUUAACUCUUCCACUCUUCCUCCAGACCACUCCCUCUCCCGCAGCCUCCUGGGUGCUCCCACCAGCCAGCAUGCUCCUGCUGCGGAGCUGUGGCCCUGGCUCCUUCCUUCCUCCCGGAAUGCUCUUGGCUCCGGUGUGCAUCAUGGAGAUAGCUCCUGUCUGCCCCCAAAUCGCUGCUCAAACCUCACCUCAGUGAGGCCGGCGCUGACCUCAUCACUGACCUAUUCACCUUCCAAACUGCUCACCUCCCAGGACUCUGAUACUCCUUCCCAACUCUUUUUCAUUCUUCCAUAAAUAACAAUGUCUAACUUAUUAGGCAAUUUCUUCAUUAUAAUUGUCCUUUGUUUUCAGUCUCUUCUCACUAGAAAGGAAAGUCCAUAAUGCCCAGAAUCUUUGUUGGGUUCCCUGAAGAAUGCCAGGCUCCCGGAAGAGGGCCUGCCUCCCAGCAGGCACAUGUGUGUGGAAUGAAUGAAUGAAUGAAUGAAUGAGGCUUGUGCAAACUAACUGCUUGCAGGAAACACCUGCUCCUUCCUGGGCACUGGGUGAAAUCUUUCGUAGAAGUUAACCAUUGACUCUUCUCCCCACCAGCCUCCUCCGUCCCUCACAGUUAAAUGCAGCUGGAAGAGGGGUUGCCCUGUACCUCCAGCUAGGUGGACUCCCCAGGAAAGAGUGACAUCUCACCACUGAGCCACCUCAGCCUUUUCCAGAGACAAGCCUUCUCUAGGCCAAUCAUCAGUGUCACAGCUAUUUGUUCUUGGGAUUUGUGGCUCUAUAUUCACAUGUAAGAAGCCAAGGCACCCAUGGGGAGCCACAGGCACCAACAGAAUACACUGAAAUCAAUCUUGCUGCGACUGGGGCUACAAGCAUGGUUACUUGGCUCACCACAGAAUUUUGUUUCAGCCUUGCCUUUGGAUCUGAAAUCCUAGGAAAUACAGUGGAAAGAAUUCUGUGGUGAGAAUCAUUAAACACUGAGUCUGGUUCAGCGCUGCUUCCUGUUACUUGUGUGACCCUGGACAGGCAAACCCAGCCUCCCUGGCUCUGAUCCCUCCUCUGUUAAAUGAGGGAUUUGGAUUGACACGAGUACUUCUCAAACUUUAGUGAAUCUUCUGGGGAUGUUGUUAAAAUGCAGUAUGUAUUCACCAGACCUGGGGUGGGGCCUGAGACUCUGCAUUUCCAACAAGUUCCUAGGUGAUACUGAUGCUGCUGGCUCAGGAUCGCACUCCAAUUAGGCCACCCUCCAAGGUGCCAUCAUGCUGUAAGCUAUAACAACUACCAAAUAAAGAAAAGCAUUAUGUCAACAAUGGAUAACAAUAAAUACUUAUUUUAGAAAAUAAAUAUAGCUUUUUCUUUUUUUGAAACAGGGUCUUACUUUGUCACCUAGGCUGGAGUGCUGUGGCAUGAACACAGCUCACUGCAGCCCCGACCUCCAGGGCUCAGGUAUCCUCCUGCCUCGGUCCCCCAAGUAGCUGGGACUACAGGUGUGCACCACCAUGGUUGGCUAAUUUUUGUGUUUUCUGUAAAGACAGGGUUUUGCCAUGUUGCCCAGGCUGGUACAAAUAUAGCUUUAGUUUUCUGUUUGUAAAAGUAAUGCAUGCUUACGAAAAUUGUUCUUAAAAAAAUCACAUAGGCCGGGCGCGGUGGCUCACGCCUGUAAUCCCAGCACUUUGGGAGGCCGAGGAGGGCGGAUCACGAGGUCAGGAGAUCGAGACUAUCCUGGCUAACACGGUGAAACCCCGUCUCUACUAAAAAUACAAAAAAUUAGCCGGGCGUGGUGGCGGGCGCCUGUAGUCCCAGCUACUGGGGAGGCUGCGGCGGGAGAAUGGCGUGAACCCAGGAGGUGGAGCUUGCAGUGAGCCGAGAUCGCGCCACUGCACUCCAGCCUGGGCGACAGCGAGACUCCGUCUCAAAAAAAAAAAAAAAAAAAAAAAAAAUCACAUACCAUGCAAUGACAGUAAAAAUCAUCCCAAGUUUCAUACCACUUGAACUAAUGUGCUCUAUUGUCACUUGGCUAUGAAGAAUACAAGUGCUAGGUUUCAGUAUUGGCAUCGUAUUACCUUGUCUUUUAAAAUCAGGUUGUGAAACUGGUAUCUUUUUCAAUUUGUUGCCAAUCAGUUAUGCGUUAAUUGAUUUGAAUUCAGUUCCUUCUGUUGUGGUAGAUUUGCUUCUGUAUCGUAUGAUUUCAAGUUGCUCAUUGCCUGAAUUCAGGACAGGGUAGUGGGUGGCUUUCUGGGGCCAUCUCAGGCGGGCUGAAUUGACCUGAAGAUGGCAAUAAGAGAAAAAAGCCAAGUAAAUAUCAAGAACAAUUUUUAGCAUAAAAUUCAGUGUUAAGAUUCAUUGAGAGCUAAUCAAUAGAAACGAAGGUUCUGUAAAUACAUCCAUCUUAUGGGAAUAACUUAGGUCAUAACCAUUGUUGGCAAAGGAGGAAAUUUUUCUUAGUUCCUCUGCACUUUCCCCAAUGAUAUUAAUGUUACACCUCUUUGAUCGUACUUGAAAUGAUUGUAAUAAUAACGAGAGCCGUAAGAGUUUGUUGGUCAUAAAAACAUACAACAUUUUAAGAACUUUAUUGGGUUUUUAUUGACAUAUAUAACUAUUAAAUAUAAGAUUAUAGACCCCAAAUAUCAAAUUAACUUUAGCAUUUACAAUUUUCCUUUGUCUCCUCUAAGCAGCCACAAUUUCCAAUGUAGCACAUAAUGAGGUCAUCAUAGUUGCAAAUCUAUAUCUUCAUAUUGUAUAACUUGAGAACAUUUUUAAACUCAGUGUAUAGGUUUGUGUGGAUGUUGUAUCAAUGUUCACAACACGAGGCAAGUGGAAAUAAAGCAAAAAUACUGUUAAUGUGUAAUAACAUUGUGCUAACAGAAUGGGCAAUUUGUAACAAUGCCAUCAGUGACUCCACUAUCUAGCACAACAGUUAAUACAUAGUGUGUAAGUUCACAUUUCAGAUAAGUGAUAGUUAUCAUUUUAAGUACCAAAACUUAGGUUUAAAGAAGUUUCUGAGAUAUGCAGAAUUCUACCUCUCACUGGGCUUUGAAAAUAUGUUACUCCUCAGGACUCACCGUGUCGUAAGCAUCACUGAUUAUUGUUUAUGUCUGUUCUAAAUUGCAGAAACAGUUUCAGAAACCUAGGUUAUUUGGUUUUUAGUCCUAAUCUUGUUACUGUAAAAGUCACACGUGUUCAUCCAUUGUAGAAAGUUCUCCAAAGUGCAAUCACAUAUAAAGAAGCAAAUAAAAAUCAUCCUCAAUCUCACUCUCCAGAAGUAAUGAUUAUUAACAGUUUCAUGAUCUUCAUCACACUGCAUUAAGUUUCCCAGAGCUGCCAUCACAAAUUAGCACAAACUGUGUGACUUAAAACAACAGAAAUUUAUUCUCUUACAGUUCACGAGGCCAGGAAUCUAAAAUUAAGGCAUCAGCAGGGUUGGGUCCUUCUGGAGGCUCUCAGAGAGUCUGUUCCAUGCGUCUCUCCUGGUUUCUGGUGUUUGCCAGCAAUCUUUGAUUCAUAGACACAUCAUUCCCAUCUCUACCUCCGCCAUCACAUGGCCUUAUUCUAUGUGUGUGUCUUUCUGCAUCCUCUCCUCUUUUUAUAAGGACACCAGGUAUUGGGUCUAUAGCCCAUCCUAAUCCAGAAUGACUUCGUCUCAGCUGAUUAACAUCUGCAAAGACUCUGUUUCUAAACAAAUUCAUAUUGUGAGGUUCUGGGUGAACAUGAAUUUGUGGGGGACACUGGGGGACACUUAUUCAACCCACUACACACACUGUAAUAUAUAUUUAUAGAAUCACGAAAACGGGACCAUAAUUUAUAUAAAGCUUAGUUCCCUUUACACUUAAGAUACCAUGAAUUUCCCUAGGUCUUUCAAACACAGAAUUUUAAUUUUUUGUAGAGUGUUUCAUCAUAUGAAGAUUACAUCAUUUCCAUAGCUAACCUGCUACUUCAAACACUCAGAUGGUUUCCAGACUUUACUAUUAUAAAUGGCUCUGAUGAAUAUACAUGUUCCCAAAUCUUUGAAUUUAUCUCUGCUUAUGUCCUUGGUAUAAAUUAUUCUGAGUCGAAUUAUUGGAUUAAGGGGUAUGAACAUUUUAAAGGCUCAUGAAAAAUCUUCUUUAAUUGAAUUCCAGAGAUUGUAUCAAUUUGCCAUCACCAGCAGAAGAGAGAACCCAUGGCAUUGCAUUCUCUGCACUGCACGUUCUAGCUUUUUGAGUGUUGGACAAGUGACUAGGCAAAGAAAUAACAUCCUUACUUUGUGACUUGUAUUUUUAUGUAAGGUUGCCUCUUUGUUUACGGACCACUUAUAUAUCUUUUUUAGGUUACCAAUUUAUGAUUUGUGUCUCCUUUUCAAUUUUUUUCUCCUCUCUCCAACUGCCAGUAUUUAUUUCUUACCAUCUCACGGAUGAGUAUACUGUCCACCUCCACCCCUUUUAGAGUCCACUGUUAGCUAAGAAACUAUGUAGAUGUAUCCUCCCUCUCCUUUUCCCAUUCUCGAACCACCUCUGAAUCUUGUACAAAUGUCAAUCAUUGCCUCCAUUGUGUCUUAACUGUUUACAUUUCGCUUUCCCUUCUAAGACUUUGAGCACUUUGGGGCCAUUUCCAUGUCUUAUCUGUGUUUUUGUAUCUUCAGCAACUAACAUGGAUGCUCAAUAAACAUACAUUGAACUGAGUUGUUACGUUGUGACCUGGAAAUAUUCACAAUUCCUUGUAUAGAUAGAAAUAGCUAAAUAAGGGCACAUAAGGAUAGACUCUAAAUGGCACUCAAUAAUGUGCAUAGGGCUGGGCGUGGUGACUCCCUGCCUGUAAUCACAGCACUUUGGGAGGUGGAGGUGGAUCACCUGAGGUCAGGAGUUAGAGACCAGCCUGGGCAACAUGGUGAAACUUCGUCUCAACCAAAAACACAAAAAAUCAGCUGGGUGUGGUAGUGUAUGUCUGUAAUCCCAGCUAUUUGGGAGGCUGCAGCACGAGAAUUGCUUGAACACAGGAGGUGGAGGUUGCAGUGAGCUGAGAUCGUAUCAUUGCACUCCAGCCUGGGCAACAGAGCAAGACUCUGUCUCAAAAAAAAAAGCAUAGGAUUUAAUCCAUGAAUUUUGAAUUUCUAUGUUAAAUUUUUAGAAAUAGUAACUUUUUCUCCCAUAUUUCUCAGCUAUAUCUGAGAUAACUGGGACUGAGCAACAUUGUCUAGACAGGCAAAGUGUUAGCAAUAAUAAGUAUAAUAAUAAUUGUAAUGUAAUAAUGGAAUGAGGAUGUUAAAGUACUGAGAUCAGGAUAAAAGUUACAAUUGUCCAAAUUUUAAAUUUCCUAUCAUUUCCACUGAAAUCACUGACUGUACUUAUAACAUUAUCAGGAAUUUAUGCAAUUUGUAGGUUUUGAAAUAAAUUACCAUUCAGAAUUCAACCGUGAAAAACAGUGUAACUCUACUUGAAAAACACUUUGAAAAACUCAAGUUUCCACCAAAUCUAGAAGCACAUGGGUCGUAAAACAUAGUUCGAAAAGUUACGAGAGAUGAUGACUACAAGGAACUUUUUAUAAAAAUCUUUUAUAAGCAUUACUCUGUGGUCAAAUUUAUUUUCACAUGGAUAUUAAAACAAGUUAUUGCUAC
rnacentral:lncRNA from 1 species